AACUGAUGUGCCCGUGCAGAAGCGGGCAUAUUUACACAAGACGAGAAGACCCUAUGGAGCUUUAGACACCAACCAACCACGAAAAGCGACCCUGAUUGGAGCCCCAAACAACGUGAUUCUGGCAUAAGUGUCUUCGGUUGGGGCGACCACGGGAGAUAGCACAGCUCCCGAGUGGAUGGGGGACACCCUAAAACCCAGAGCCACAGCUCUAAGUCACAAAACAUUUGACCAAUAAUGAUCCGGCUUAAUGCCGACCAACGGACCAAGUUACCCUAGGGAUAACAGCGCAAUCCUCUCCCAGAGUCCAUAUCGACGAGGGGGUUUACGACCUCGAUGUUGGAUCAGGACAUCCUAAUGGUGCAGCCGCUAUUAAGGG
rnacentral:rRNA from 1 species